UACGGGGGGUGCAAACGUUGCUCGGAAUCAUUGGGCGUAAAGCGCACGUAGGCGGCUCGUUAAGUCGGAUGUGAAAGCCCUGGGCUUAACCCAGGAAGUGCAUACGAAACUGGCGAGCUUGAAUAUGGAAGAGGGUCGCGGAAUUCCCGGUGUAGAGGUGAAAUUCGUAGAUAUCGGGAGGAACACCAGUGGCGAAGGCGGCCCCCUGGACCGGUACUGACGCUGAGGCGCGAAAGCGUGGGUAGCAAACGGG
rnacentral:rRNA from 1 species